CUAAUACAUGCAAGUCGAACGCUUCUUUCCUCCCGGAGAUGCUUGCACUCAAUUGGAAAGAGGAGUGGCGGACGGGUGAGUAACACGUGGGUAACCUACCCAUCAGAGGGGGAUAACACUUGGAAACAGGUGCUAAUACCGCAUAACAGUUUAUGCCGCAUGGCAUAAGAGUGAAAGGUGCUUUCGGGUGUCGCUGAUGGAUGGACCCGCGGUGCAUUAGCUAGUUGGUGAGGUAACGGCUCACCAAGGCCACGAUGCAUAGCCGACCUGAGAGGGUGAUCGGCCACACUGGGACUGAGACACGGCCCAGACUCCUACGGGAGGCAGCAGUAGGGAAUCUUCGGCAAUGGACGAAAGUCUGACCGAGCAACGCCGCGUGAGUGAAGAAGGUUUUCGGAUCGUAAAACUCUGUUGUUAGAGAAGAACAAGGACGUUAGUAACUGAACGUCCCCUGACGGUAUCUAACCAGAAAGCCACGGCUAACUACGUGCCAGCAGCCGCGGUAAUACGUAGGUGGCAAGCGUUGUCCGGAUUUAUUGGGCGUAAAGCGAGCGCAGGCGGUUUCUUAAGUCUGAUGUGAAAGCCCCCGGCUCAACCGGGGAGGGUCAUUGGAAACUGGGAGACUUGAGUGCAGAAGAGGAGAGUGGAAUUCCAUGUGUAGCGGUGAAAUGCGUAGAUAUAUGGAGGAACACCAGUGGCGAAGGCG
rnacentral:rRNA from 1 species